AUUGAACGCUGGCGGCGUGCUUAACACAUGCAAGUCGAUCGGUAACAGGUGUAGCAAUACAUGCUGACGAGAGGCGGACGGGUGAGUAAUGCUUGGGAAUCUGCCUAUUAGUGGGGGACAACCCGGGGAAACUCGGGCUAAUACCGCAUACGCUCUACGGAGGAAAGCCGGGGACCGCAAGGCCUGGCGCUAAUAGAUGAGCCCAAGUCGGAUUAGCUAGUUGGUAGGGUAACGGCCUACCAAGGCGACAAUCCGUAGCUGGUCUGAGAGGACGACCAGCCACACCGGAACUGAGACACGGUCCGGACUCCUACGGGAGGCAGCAGUGGGGAAUAUUGGACAAUGGGGGCAACCCUGAUCCAGCGACGCCGCGUGGGUGAAGAAGGCCUGCGGGUUGUAAAGCCCUUUCGGUGGGGAAGAAAAGUCUCGACCUAAUACGUCGGGACCUUGACGUAACCCACUAAAGAAGCACCGGCUAACUCUGUGCC
rnacentral:rRNA from 1 species